rnacentral:rRNA from 1 species
CGCCUCCUGCAGCAUAAAGUAUAGGAGGUCCAGCCUGCCCAGUGACUACGGGUUCAACGGCCGCGGUAUAUUGACCGUGCAAAGGUAGCGCAAUCACUUGUCUUUUAAAUAGAGACCUGUAUGAAUGGCUAGACGAGGGCUUAACUGUCUCCCCCCUCCAGUCAGUGAAAUUGAUCUAUCCGUGCAGAAGCGGGUAUAAUACUACAAGACGAGAAGACCCUUUGGAGCUUAAGGUACAAAAUUCAGCCACGUUAAGCAACUCCUUAAGAAGCAAGAACUUAAUGGCCAUGAAGUUUUACCUUCGGUUGGGGCGACCACGGAGGAAAAGCAAGCCUCCGAGUGGACUGGGCCAACACCCCUAAAGCCAAAAGAGACAUCUUUAAGCCGCAGAAUAUCUGACCAAUAAGGAUCCGGCUAAAAAGCCGAUCAACGGACCAAGUUACCCUAGGGAUAACAGCGCAAUCCUCUCCCAGAGCCCAUAUCGACGAGGGGGUUUA